rnacentral:rRNA from 1 species
AACGUAGGGUGCGAGCGUUGUCCGGAUUUAUUGGGCGUAAAGAGCUCGUAGGCGGCUCGUCGCGUCGACCGUGAAAACCCGCGGCUUAACUGCGGGCUUGCGGUUGAUACGGGCGGGCUAGAGUUCGGUAGGGGAGACUGGAAUUCCUGGUGUAGCGGUGAAAUGCGCAGAUAUCAGGAGGAACACCGGUGGCGAAGGCGGGUCUCUGGGCCGAUACUGACGCUGAGGAGCGAAAGCGUGGGGAGCGAACAGG